GAUGAAGAACGUAGCAAAAUGCGAUAAGUAAUGUGAAUUGCAGAAUUUAGUGAAUCAUCGAAUCUUUGAACGCACAUUGCGCCCGCCAGUAUUCUGGCGGGCAUGCCUGUUCGAGCGUCAUUUCAACCCUCAAGCCCUCGGGUUUGGUGUUGGGGAUCGGCGAGCCUUUCUGGCAAGCCGGCCCCGAAAUCUAGUGGCGGUCUCGCUGCAGCCUCCAUUGCGUAGUAGUAAAACCCUCGCAACUGGAACGCGGCGCGGCCAAGCCGUUAAACCCCCAACUUCUGAAUGUUGACCUCGGAUCAGGUAGGAAUACCCGCUGAACUUAAGCAUAUCAAUAAGCGGAGGA
rnacentral:misc_RNA from 1 species